rnacentral:hammerhead_ribozyme from 1 species
AUCCAGCCGAUGAGUCCCAAACAGGAUGAAACGCUCAUCCUGGAU